rnacentral:lncRNA from 1 species
AACGUGUAAGAUAGUUAGACAUUUAUAACUUUGUGGGGCAUUGUUUAGGUACUGUGAAGACUUGAGGUGAAUUUAUGUCUUGUAAAAGCUUUGUGUAAGCAGAAUAUCUUGGCAAUUGUAGAUGCAUAUUUAACUCUGUUAAUAAUAACUCUAGAGAAAUCUUAAUUUUACCAGUAGGAAAAAAAUAUGACUACUUCUUCUUUUUAAAGAAUGCACGUGUCUACCCUUUAACCAUCCAGUUAAUAGAAAGGAAUAACUUUAGAAUUAAGCUUUAAAACAUUAUAGAAAAUUUAAGCCAGUAUGUUAGGUUUUUUUUCUUUUCCACGCCAUAGCAGUAACAAAACGAAAUCUAUAAAAACUCAAAACGUUGAGAAAUUUAAAAAACAGGCUACUUUAGCAGUUUUUUUUUAAAGCAUUUAUAUUAGAACUGAUUAUACCAGAUGGGCAUUAAAUAUUCAUCUUAUAUAAUACCAAGAUUAGAUAUUGGAGCCAGGCCUGAGUAUCCAUGUGCAAACAUGGGAACCUGACUUUAGAGCUCUUCACUUAGCUCUAAUCAUAGUAGUUCUAUGGUUUCUUCACAGUUACUUUGUGUCAUUGUCCAUAAAUGAAAUAUUUUGUAACUUUGGUGUUAAUUUCAUGAAAGGCUAUAGAUGAACAAACUUGCUCAUUAUUUGAUAUAAGAAGCAGAUUUAAAAUGAGUGUCACAUAUAAGUAGGUUAUUGAAUGGCUAUUUUUCUCUUUAAUUUAAAAAAGUAAUAUUUAUUAAAAGGAGCCUUGGUAGAAUGUUGUUUGUGGUAUGUUCUUUAGUAAACCUUGCAAUUACAUGUAGUAAUAAGGAUAUUAAAAUAUAAUAGUAUUCCCCAUUUUUGUCUAGAUUCUUGUGAAGUAUAAGAGUAAUCAAGGUGGCGGGUCUACAUCUAUGUGUUCGUCCCACAAGUAGAAUCCAUUUGACAUGCUGUGGCAUCUACUUUCUGGGAAAAGGGGACUUUUUUUUGCUGCAAGAAAUUUAAGGUUACUUUGGGGGAGAGGGUGGUGCUACUUCAACUGUAACAUGUUUUUAAAAUUAUGAUUAUAGGUUUCAGUUGUUUUGUUUCUUUCUAGUCUUUUAAAAAUAUUUUUUCCCUUAACUCUUAUCUUAAGGAAAGUCCCUCCCUUUCCUACAGGGCUGUGAAUUAAAGAAUGGGUAGAGUUUACAUUUAAGUAUGCCAGUGUCUGCCCAGUUUCUUAAUGUAUGCAUUUGUUUUCCUUUUUAGUUAUUCUUUGAUCUAAAAUGCUAGAAGAAAACAUAGAUCUUCCUAGUGCCUUUGAACUUAUACUGUAGUCUAAUUUAAAUCAUUAAUAACUUCAAUAGCAUUACUACAAUACUGUAUACUGGCCAGAAUUACAAAUCAUAUGAUAAGUUUGUCGUAUUAAUUUCAAAAGCCAACUUUCAUUGUAUUUUAUGUAUAUAUUGUAUUUGUUCAAGUUGUAUAUAUUGAUAUUGUAUGUAUACAUACAGCAUGGUUAAAUAAGAAAUAAAAAACUUUACCUAAUGC